ensembl:lncRNA
CGGGACAGGUAGAGGGCAGGUUGGGGACAGGUAGAGGGCAGGUAGAAGGCAGGUUGAGGACAGGUAGAGGGCAGGUUGAGGACAGGUAGAGGGCAGGUUGAGGACAGGUAGAGGGCAGGUUGAGGACAGGUAGAGGGCAGGUAGAGGGCAGGUAGAGGACAGGUUGAGGACAGGUAGAGGGCAGGUUGGGGACAGGUAGAGGACAGGUAGAGGGCAGGUAGAGGGCAGGUUGAGGACAGGUAGAGGGCAGGUUGAGGACAGGUAGAGGGCAGGUAGAGGACAGGUAGAGGGCAGGUAGAGGACAGGUAGAGGGCAGGUUGAGGACAGGUAGAGGGCAGGUUGGGGACAGGUAGAGGGCAGGUUGAGGACAGGUAGAAGGCAGGUAGAGGACAGGUAGAGGGCAGGUAGAGGACAGGUAGAGGGCAGGUUGGGGAUAGGUAGAGGGCAGGUUGAGGACAGGUAGAAGGCAGGUAGAGGACAGGUUGAGAACAGGUAGAGGGCAGGUUGAGGACAGGUAGAGUGCAGGUUGAGGACAGGUAGAGGGCAGGUAGAGGACAGGUAGAGGGCAGGUUGGGUACAGGUAGAGGGCAGGUAGAGGACAGGUAGAGGGCAGGUAGAGGGCAGGUAGAAGGCAGGUAGAGGGCAGGUUAGGGACAGAUAGAGGGCAGGUUGAGAAUAGGUAGGGUGCAGGUUGAGGACAGGUAGAGGUUCAUUAUCAGGUCAGAGCCAGGCAGGUACAGGGCUGCAGGCAGGCUUGGAGUCAGGGCAGGUAGAGGUUCGUUAUCAGGUCAGAGUCAGGC